AGCGAACGCUGGCGGCGUGCCUAACACAUGCAAGUCGAACGUGAAAGGGAGCAAUCCCAAGUAAAGUGGCGUACGGGUGAGUAACACGUAGGUAAUCUACCCCAGAAUCUGGAAUAACCGGCCGAAAGGCUGGCUAAUACUGGAUAGAGCGACGGAAUCCGUAAUUGGGUUUUUCGGGAAAGGGAGCCUGUAAAAAGGCCUUCGUUCUGGGAUGAGCCUGCGUCCCAUCAGCUAGUUGGUGAGGUAAAAGCUUACCAAGGCAAUGACGGGUAGCUGGUCUGAGAGGACGAUCAGCCAAAAUGGAACUGAAGAACGGGCCAGACUCCUACGGGAGGCAGCAGUGGGGAAUCUUGCGCAAGGGGCGAAAGUCUGACGCAGCAACGCCGCGUGAGUGAAGAAGGGCUUCGGGUUGGAAAGCUCUGUCGAGUAGGACGAAAAUGCUUGGAGUUCACAGCUCCAGGAACUGACGGUACCACUAAAGGAAGCACCGGCUAACUCCGUG
rnacentral:rRNA from 1 species